ACCCAAAUACGCAAACUGGUAAAGCGGCUAUACUUAGGAUAUAGCGAUGUUGCAGGUUCGAAUCCUGCUUUGGGUA
rnacentral:tRNA from 1 species